UCCGAGUUGUAAUUUGAAGAGGAUGUUUCGGUGCGGCCUGGGCCUAAGUUCCUUGGAACAGGACGUCAUGGAGGGUGAGAAUCCCGUACAUGGCUGCAGGCUUGUCAUCAUGUGAAACUCCUUCGAAGAGUCGAGUUGUUUGGGAAUGCAGCUCAAAAUGGGUGGUAAAUUUCAUCUAAAGCUAAAUAUUGGCGGGAGACCGAUAGCGCACAAGUAGAGUGAUCGAAAGAUGAAAAGCACUUUGAAAAGAGAGUCAAACAGUACGUGAAAUUGUUGAAAGGGAAGUGCUUGCAAUCAGACUCGCCGUCAGUUGAUCAGCCAUCCUUCUGGUUGGUGCACUCUGCUGGCGGCGGGCCAGCAUCAGUUGGGGCGGUGGGACAAAGGCGGCAGGAAUGUGGCUCGCUUCGGUGAGUGUUAUAGCCUGCUGUGUCAUGCCACCAGCCCCGAUUGAGGUCCGCGGUUCGCCUAGGAUGCUGGCUUAAUGGUUGUAAGCAACCCGUCUUGAAACACGGACCAAGGAGUCUAACAUCUAUGCGAGUCUUUGGGUGUAAAACCCAUGGGCGAAAUGAAAGUGAACGGAGGUGGGAGUCCUCGGAUGCACCAUCGACCGAUCCUGAUGUUCUCGGAUGGAUUUGAGUAGGAGCAUAGCUGUUGGGACCCGAAAGAUGGUGAACUAUGCCUGAAUAGGGUGAAGCCAGAGGAAACUCUGGUGGAGGCUCGCAGCGGUUCUGACGUGCAAAUCGAUCGUCAAAUUUGGGUAUAGGGGCGAAAGACUAAUCGAACCAUCUAGUAGCUGGUUCCUGCCGAAGUUU
rnacentral:rRNA from 1 species